ACGACUCCCGGCAACGGAUAUCUGGGCUCUCGCAUCG
rnacentral:rRNA from 1 species